rnacentral:rRNA from 1 species
GAUGAACGCUGGCGGCGUGCUUAACACAUGCAAGUCGAACGAUGAAGCCCAGCUUGCCGGGUGGAUUAGUGGCGAACGGGUGAGUAACACGUGAGUAACCUGCCCUUAACUCUGGGAUAAGCCUGGGAAACUGGGUCUAAUACCGGAUAGGAGCGUCCACCGCAUGGUGGGUGUUGGAGAGAUUUAUCGGUUUUGGAUGGACUCGCGGCCUAUCAGCUUGUUGGUGAGGUAAUGGCUCACCAAGGCGACGACGGGUAGCCGGCCUGAGAGGGUGACCGGCCACACUGGGACUGAGACACGGCCCAGACUCCUACGGGAGGCAGCAGUGGGGAAUAUUGCACAAUGGGCGCAAGCCUGAUGCAGCGACGCCGCGUGAGGGAUGACGGCCUUCGGGUUGUAAACCUCUUUCAGUAGGGAAGAAGCGAAAGUGACGGUACCUGCAGAAGAAGCACCGGCUAACUACGUG